GAGUUUGAUCCUGGCUCAGAUUGAACGCUGGCGGCAUGCUUUACACAUGCAAGUCGAACGGCAGCGCGGGGGCAACCCUGGCGGCGAGUGGCGAACGGGUGAGUAAUACAUCGGAACGUGUCCCGUAGUGGGGGAUAACCCGGCGAAAGCCGGACUAAUACCGCAUAUGCUCUACGGAGGAAAGUGGGGGACCCGCAAGGGCCUCAUGCUAUGGGAGCGGCCGAUGUCCGAUUAGCUUGUUGGCGGGGUAAAGGCCCACCAAGGCGACGAUCGGUAGCUGGUCUGAGAGGAUGAUCAGCCACACUGGGACUGAGACACGGCCCAGACUCCUACGGGAGGCAGCAGUGGGGAAUUUUGGACAAUGGGGGCAACCCUGAUCCAGCCAUGCCGCGUGAGUGAAGAAGGACUUCGGGUUGUAAAGCUCUUUUGGUCGGAAAGAAAAGGCUUCGUCUAAUAAGCGAGGCUCUUGACGGUACCGGCAGAAUAAGCACCGGCUAACUACGUGCCAGCAGCCGCGGUAAUACGUAGGGUGCGAGCGUUAAUCGGAAUUACUGGGCGUAAAGCGUGCGUAGGCGGUUCUUUGUGUCCGCUGUGAAAGCCCCGGGCUUAACCUGGGAAUGGCAGUGGAAACUAGAGGACUCAGAAUCUGGCAGAGGGGGGUGGAAUGCCACGUGUAGCAGUGAAAUGCGUAGAGAUGUGGCGGAACACCGAUGGCGAAGGCA
rnacentral:rRNA from 1 species